rnacentral:rRNA from 1 species
GAUGAACGCUGGCGGCGUGCCUAAUACAUGCAAGUCGAGCGAACGGACGAGAAGCUUGCUUCUCUGAUGUUAGCGGCGGACGGGUGAGUAACACGUGGAUAACCUACCUAUAAGACUGGGAUAACUUCGGGAAACCGGAGCUAAUACCGGAUAAUAUCUUGAACCGCAUGGUUCAAAAGUGAAAGACGGUCUUGCUGUCACUUAUAGAUGGAUCCGCGCUGCAUUAGCUAGUUGGUAAGGUAACGGCUUACCAAGGCAACGAUGCAUAGCCGACCUGAGAGGGUGAUCGGCCACACGGGAACUGAGACACGGUCCAGACUCCUACGGGAGGCAGCAGUAGGGAAUCUUACGCAAUGGGCGAAAGCCUGACGGAGCAACGCCGCGUGAGUGAUGAAGGUCUUCGGAUCGUAAAACUCUGUUAUUAGGGAAGAACAUAUGUGUAAGUAACUGUGCACAUCUUGACGGUACCUAAUCAGAAAGCCACGGCUAACUACGUG